rnacentral:rRNA from 1 species
GAUGAACGCUGGCGGCGUGCCUAAUACAUGCAAGUCGAGCGAACGGACGAGAAGCUUGCUUCUCUGAUGUUAGCGGCUGACGGGUGAGUAACACGUGGAUAACCUACCUAUAAUACUGGUAUAACUUCGGGAAACCGGAGCUAAUACCGGAUGAUAUUUUGAACCUCAUGGUUCUAAAGUGAUAGACGGUCUUGCUGUCACUUUUAGAUGUAUCCUCGCUUCAUUAGCUAGUUGGUAAGGUAACGGCUUACCAAGGCAACGAUGCAUAUCCGACCUGAGAGGGUGAUCGGCAAAACAGGAAAUGAGAAAGGGAACAGAAACGAAGGGGAGGAAGAAGUAGGGAAACGUGAGAAAUGGGCGAAAGAGUGAAGGAGAAAAGGAGCGUGAGUGAAGAAGGUCAACGGAUCGUAAAACUGUGUUAUUAGGGAAGAAAAUAUGUGAAAGUAACUGUGAAAAAAUUGACGGAACAAAAAAAGAAAGCAACGGCUAACUACGU